UCAGCCUCCUGAGUACCUGGGACUACAGGUGCAAGCCACCGCGCAUAGCUAAGUUUUAAUUUAUUUUUUGUAGAUAUGAGGUUUCACUUUGUUGCCCAAGGUGAUCUCACACUCCUGGGCUCAGGAGGAUUGCUUGAGCCCACACGAUGGAGAGGUAGCACUGAGCUGAGAUAGCACCAUGGCACCCCAGCCUGGGCAACAGAGCCAGGCUUUGUCUUAAACAAACAAAGAACAUGGUUUGUCCAUUUAGAUUUCCUUUUAUGCCCUUUAGCAAGUUUUAUUUUUUUUUCCAUAAAGUUCUUGAACAUUUUGUGGUGGUUAAAUUUAUUAUUUUACUUAUUUUUACAUAUAGCUAUUAGAGAGGAUCUUUAUUUUUUAGUUCUCAUAUGUUUUCUAGUUAGUUACUACUAGAGUAACCUAUCAUCCUAGUUUAUACCUGCUACAUGCCAUCCAUUUAUUCCCAUUGUCCUGGUUUGGAUAAUAAAUUAAAUCGUGUGGCCUUAGUUAUUAACAAUUUUAUCAUUUAGGAUUUCAUUCAGUUUCAACUAAUAAAACCUCACUAGUGGAUUGUUAACAAAUAAGAGGUAUAUUUAUCUCAUAACAGAAAUCUGCAUGUAGGUGGUCCAGUGCUCGUGCAACAGCUCCAUAAUAUCUUCAGGAACCUCGCCUUGUCUUCCAGCACUACUGUCUGUAGAAUGUAUCUUUCAUCCUCAUUUGUAAGAUGGUUUCUGCACCUUCUGGCAUCUUUUCUAUCUUCGAGACAUACAGGAAUAAAAAUGCAGAGCAAAAUGAGUUUUUGUUUUCUUUUCUGGAAAGAGUGAGUUCCCCAGCAGCAUUUGCCUGCAUUUGAUUUACCAGAACUACCAGACACAUGGCCAUCUAGUUGCAGAGGCAGUUAAGGAGAAACAAGGAUUAAAUACAUAAUUUAAGAACUUAAACUUUAUCCUGUAGAGAGGUAUAUGUUAUUCAAGGUUUUUGAACCAGGGCAUGACAUAAUAAAACGGAGAUUAGAAAGAUUCAUUUGGAAAUGGUUUGGAGAAUGAGUUAGGCAAAUGAUUUUGAAGGCAAAGAAAGCCUAGCAGAUUGAUUAAAGUGGAGAAGAGCACUGAAGUCCAAUUAGAAGACUUGUUUAAUCAAUAUACUCAGCCUUUUGUGAUAAUGGUAAUGGUUUGUGGGUAGAUUAGUAACCUUGAAAACAGAAAGGAAUAGUGGCUUAUACUAGUGACUGUCCAGAAAGACCUAGCUGAUCAUUAAAUUUUUGGAAUUGUUGAGAAGGCCAGUUUUCUUUCAUUCUAAACAGUUAACAUAGUUAAGGAACAUAGGUAAGGAUACAUUUAAGGAAAUAGAAUGUUUCAAAUAGCUUAAAAAAUUCUCUUGGCCAACUUUUUGAUGAAGUUGGUAAAGUAGCAGUGUAAGUCCAAGAGCCCAGGCAUAUUUACUGUCAUGAUUUUCAUAGCAAUGAAUAGGUAAAGAAAAUACGAGCACUAGAAGCUAGAAAACAUGCCAUUUUCAUGGCAAAUAUUAAUGUUCUUCAGCUAAAUGUUGUUUGGAUGAUGCUGGAACAAGAAGGCUAACUCAUGACACCUCUGUUGUGACAGAGCAACAUGCCUAGGGA
ensembl:lncRNA novel transcript